rnacentral:lncRNA from 10 species
UGCUGACCUUUUUCUCAUCCUUCUAUUCGCACGGUCCAUCCCCAGGCUCUGUCAUCCUGAGAAACUGUACCACCUCUGAAAUCCCAAUUCCAAAUAUGUCUCUUUCUGAUGAUCACCUCUUAUCUUUCCAAAUCUCUUGCUAAAGUAUGAACAUUUUCCCUUUCUCCUUCUAAAGCCCUCCAACUUUCCAUUUCAACCCAUCAGCCUACACCAUGCACUAUUUCCCCUUCUGCUGUCAGCUACUGACAUCCAUUUCUCUCUCUCUCUCUCAUUUCUCAAAUCUUCAGUUUGCAAUUCUGGAAGAUCUCAGCGUGCACAGGGGUGGUACUCCCAACUCUCCGACUUCCCAAUUCCAUGACCUCAACUUCUCUCGUCACCUUGUCCUCCAUCUGAAAUCAGACACACAGCCUCCCUAGGCCUCCUCUGACCUCGUCGGUGCUGACCAUGCAGCUCCUCCACAAGCUCGAUGUGAAGUCUUUCAUUCUUUGGCCAAUGCCUGUUUGUCCAGUUCAACCCUUCUAGUACUCAAAUCCCGAAAAUUCUUUGAGCCACUGGCAUCUGUAACCAACUUUCCCUGUCCUCUCUCUCAUCUGGGUUCUCUGCUUGCCCAGCUGAAAUUUCAUGGUCGGUCAUAAUCACUCCCUUAGAUUCACCCUCAGCUUACACUGUUGUUGUAACACUGUAAGA